UUAGGGAUGUGGGAACCUGAAUGCACAAAACAGAACCACAGUUGCCCCAGGGCAGCCAAGGGAGGCGGCUAUCUCCCAAAAACAGGCUGGCCUCAUUUUGCAGUUUGUCAAGGACUUGCCCUUAAGCUCUCUCUUUCUUGGGGUAAGAGGAAAGCGAAGGGACCUCAGGUCAAGAUUUCUACAGCCCAAGAGAAGCUCAGCUUUAGCUAAUUAGGCACCUCCAGCACACAUGUGAACAGCUAGCGCCAAUAGCUUUGGUCAGCAUUAAUAUGCUGGGUGUAGAUCUUCUCCCUCCAAGACUCCAUACAUUCAGCGUCUUAAGAAGCAGACCCAGAGUUCCAGGGCACAGCCUCAGCAGCCCAAGGCCAGCUCCAAGGUCACUGGCCUUUCCUGAUUUGACCUUCACUUGGGAUCAAGUCUUCCUGAACCAGAAACAAGCUGAAUCCGAGAAGCCCAGGCAGGCUGUGCUGCUAGCAUCCUGUGUAUUUCGCUUCAUCUCUCCCCGUUACAGACCAGGAAUUCCAAAUUCCUAGCCCAAGGUCAGAGAGGUCUCACUGAUGCCUGUGUAGCCACGUGAGGAUGGGAAGUCUCAUUUGCCAGUAAGCACUACAGGAAGUGAUGGUUGAACACGAUGGGACUAAUAAGAAGGAAACGUAGUUAGAGUGAUCUUAUUCAUUUAAAAACAAAAGCAGCAACAAUACAGCAGUCGAG
rnacentral:lncRNA from 1 species